rnacentral:rRNA from 1 species
GUAGCUGGUCUGAGAGGAUGRCCAGCCACACUGGRACUGAGACACGGUCCAGACUCCUACGGGAGGCAGCAGUGGGGAAUAUUGGACAAUGGGGGCAACCCUGAUCCAGCAAUGCCGCGUGUGUGAAGAAGGCCUGAGGGUUGUAAAGCACUUUCAGUGGGGAGGAGGGUUGAUAGGUUAAGAGCURAUUAAUUGGACGUUACCCACAGAAGAAGCACCGGCUAACUCCGUGCCAGCAGCCGCGGUAAUACGGAGGGUGCAAGCGUUAAUCGGAAUUACUGGGCGUAAAGGGUGCGUAGGUGGUUGAUUAAGUUAUCUGUGAAAUCCCUGGGCUUAACCUGGGCAGGUCAGAUAAKACUGUUUGACUCGAGUAUGG